CUCCUCUUAGGAUCUCACCUGGAGAGUUUCCAGUUCUCUUCCAUUUUCAGAUACGAGAGGGAGAGUCGAGCAGAGGCAUACCCAUUCCAUUCCUAGCUUGGGUAGUGGCUAGUGAGUGGAAGACAAUCUGCUAGAAGU